rnacentral:lncRNA from 1 species
UCAUAAUUAUAGUCAUUUCAAUAAUUCUAACAUACCCACAUACAUGCAUGCGUAUUUUAAUAUGCACACUCAGAUGCUGCAAGAGAGAAGUGAAGAAGAAAAGAAUGUUCACUUGGAGAUGGAGACCUUCCUAAAGAGACAGCAUGCAGAGAAGUUACAGUUUUGGAUUCAGCAGUAUGAAAAAGAAAUGGAGAAGAAGGAGCAAGAGAUCACUGCUCUUCAGAAUAAAAGAAACAUCAACCAGGCACGAAUUCAGGAGCUGUCUAAGAAGUGCAGAGACAUGCAAUAGGAUAUCAUUGAGGACAGGAUGGAGAAGGAACAUUUGCGUGCACAGCUGGAGAAGGAGCAGAGGGACAGAGAUGCAGCAACUAAGAUCCAGGCCUGGUGGCGUGGGACUCUUGUACGUAGAGGACUAGGUUCUCCUAAGAAAGCAAGCAAAUCCAAGUCUAAAAAAGGCAAAAAGAAGAAGAAAUGAAGACUGAGACAAUAAAAGUUUUUUUUUUGUGGCUGCAAAAUAUCAAUCAAUUACAAAAGGAAAGCAAAUAUUUGCAAGAGCAGCAGAGUGAGAGUUUGUAUAUUAAAAAUGUAUUUUUAAGAUUUUUACUAGGGUUUAUAAGUCAUUACCAAACUAAGAUUUUUAGAUAAUUUUAGUUUAAGACAGAACUAUACCCAUAGUAAUUCUACCCAAGGGAAAUACUAACCAGAUUAUAGGUGACUCUAAAAGGUCACACAGGUUAGUUCUACUAGACAAAGAUGUGG